rnacentral:rRNA from 1 species
GCUAGCGGGAGGCCUAACACAUGCAAGCCGAGCGGUAUUGUUUCUUCGGAAAUGAGAGAGCGGCGUACGGGUGCGGAACACGUGUGCAACCUGCCUUUAUCUGGGGGAUAGCCUUUCGAAAGGAAGAUUAAUACUCCAUAACAUAUUGAUUGGCAUCAAUUAAUAUUGAAAGCUCCGGCGGAUAGAGAUGGGCACGCGCAAGAUUAGCUAGUUGGUGAGGUAACGGCUCACCAAGGCGAUGAUCUUUAGGGGGCCUGAGAGGGUGAUCCCCCACACUGGUACUGAGACACGGACCAGACUCCUACGGGAGGCAGCAGUGAGGAAUAUUGGUCAAUGGGUGCAAGCCUGAACCAGCCAUCCCGCGUGAAGGACGACUGCCCUAUGGGUUGUAAACUUCUUUUGUAUAGGGAUAAACCUACCCUCGUGAGGGUAGCUGAAGGUACUAUACGAAUAAGCACCGGCUAACUCCGUGCCAGCAGCCGCGGUAAUACGGAGGGUGUAAGCGUUAUCCGGAAUCAUUGGGUUUAAAGGGUCCGUAGGCGGACUGAUAAGUCAGAGGUGAAAUCCCACAGCUUAACUGUGGAACUGCCUUUGAUACUGUCAGUCUUGAGUUAUAUUGAAGUAGAUGGAAUGUGUAGUGUAGCGGUGAAAUGCAUAGAUAUUACACAGAACACCGAUUGCGAAGGCAGUCUACUAAGUAUAUACUGACGCUGAGGGACGAAAGCGUGGGGAUCAAACAGGAUUAGAUACCCCUGGUAGUCCACGCCGUAAACGAUGGAUACUAGCUGUUGGAUCGUGAGGUCAGUGGCUAAGCAAAGUGAUAAGUAUCCCACCUGGGGA